UUUGUGUGUAACAUGCAUUCGGUGAUAUAUCUAACCGAUUUAAAUUUUCGGAAAAUGCCCUGUUUCGGUUUUAACAAUAAUUGUAAGAUAAUAUAAAUACAUAUCAAUAUCAUACUUAAUAUCGAUAUAUAACACAAGGAUUUUAUGCGGUAGAAUAAAACGAAUUGCUGAAAAAUGGCAGCAGGCAUUCCUUAUACUCACCUGUACAGAGUAUUACGACCAGCAGAAGAUCCAAAAGUUGGUAUAACUGCAAAAUCACCAUCAAGUUCUGUUAGCGUGAGUUCUCACGUUGGUUGUGGAGGACUAAGCACGCAGUAUAUAUCAACUUGCGCUACUGAAAGUUCGGCAAGGCGGUUUGCCAAUCUUGGAAUCAUGCAUCAUGAUCAAUCAUGUCCAAAGAAAAUUAUAACCAUCGACGUGGAAAAAUUAAAGCUAGCAAACCCGGGAGUAAGGAUCAUAAAUCUGACAGAUUUUAAUGAAUUGAACACUUACAUUCCAGUGGAUGAGAGUACAGCAAGGCACUGGGCUGUGGACUGGGAUGAAGUUCUAAUAGUUGGCACCAUACCCCCGGCAUGUAUUACGAAAGUCGAAGAAAUCUGACAAAAGUUAGUUAUUGUUGUAGAAAUGUAGCUAUUUAUAAAAUAUACAAGAAAGUAAAUGAAAUACGUAGCGAAAAUGAGAUAUCAGGAGAUAAACAUUACUUAACAGAACACUUUCGAGCGAUGAUAUACUUGAAAUAAUAGCUGUUAUUAAGGAAUUCAUUUUUUUUCACUUAAGUUGAUUGCAUUACCUUUAAGUUAGUUAGCGAUUUUCAUGAAUGUAGUGAUUCCUAAUUUUGUACUUUUCAAGUAGUCUUAUACAUGUACUGAGCUUUCAAUAUCUGACCCUAUCAAUUCAAUAAUGGGAAAUGCUUAUGAUUUGUUUCAUUAUUUAAUCAUUUCUCUUUUGUAAUAUAUUAUAAAUGUAGAAUUUAUAAGGAACAUUUUAAUACAAUUGUCAGUACUUUAAUCAUAUAUACACGUAUUGUUCUUUACGUAACUAUAACCUUAAACCUCCACACUAAUGCAUGUGAAAUAACUUUACCCGAUGAAAUUAUUUAAUGAUAACGCUGAUUAUUCGCAAAAGCAUUACCAUUUCAAAAACCAAUUCACUAUCUUUUAUGUUUUUCGAGUAGACUUUUUUUGAGAUAAGCUGCGAUAGAUAUUUAUGACUCAUAUUUAGCUGAUUAUCGUCAAUCGUUCUAUUAUAAUAUAAGGUUAUUUAACAGCUGAAUUGUUUGACGGGUACGAAGCAUUUGUUACCCAUAUUUAGACAAUGCAUAGAAUACCUAGUCCAAAUAUGGAUUAUUACUGCUGUGUACGAGUACAAUAGAAUUCAGUACUGUACCCGACAUUGUUGAAUUACCUCCAUAUUUUAUACAAUGAUAAAAACUGAAAUGACGGGAAAAUGAAUAUUCACAAUUUUUUGAUUGACGAGUGGAAACAUUCCAAACAUUUUAAAGGUCCAAUACUAAAGAAAGUGAACAUUUUAAUUUCUUUUAAAAAGCACAGAAACUAUUUCAUUUUAUUGGAAAAUGAAAGUUGGUAUGUAGAAAUUCGAAAUAAAUCGCAGUAUAUGUACAAUUAUUUUUCUAUGAAGUAUGAAGAAAGUUAAAAAGACCUGGGGGGUCAUUCUGUCGAUUCAUUGAAAUUUCAACAUAAUACACAUACAUUUCUUUGAGUUCCAAAGACCUUCUGCAAAUUUUGACCUGCCAAUCUUCAUUAUUUAGUGUCUUGCAGAAGUCCAUGCACUGGCUAUGAAAAAAAAUUGCCAACUCACUUUCCCUUAGUAAUGGACCUUUAAGGAGAGAGUUUCAAAUAAGCUUUCAGCUUCCUACUCAAUCCUGUAUGCCUUUUUGAUAUAUGUACAUGUUGUAAAUGAAUUGUGAUUAAUACAAUAUUGUUUAAACCAAACAUUUUAAGUUCAAGUUUUUUUCUCAUAAGACGUAUAUCAAUAUAAGGUGAUUGUGCUAUCAUGCAGGUUUUUCACAUGCAAUACACCUAAAAUGUAAUUCGUGUAUUAACUCCAAAUAAGCCUAUUUCAACCACGAUGUUUUCAACCGUUAGCCUAGAUCUAAUAUUUUUACUGACAGCACCAAGAUAUUCAAAAGCAACGUUUCAUCUAACGUUGAGCCGUUAUAAUCCUAUUAUUUUACUAUCUCAAAAGCAAAAUACAAUGAAAAAAUAGUAUUCAAAUUAAAUAUGAUUAAAUAAAAUGGUAUAAAAAAUUAUGCAGUACAACAAACGGUGCCGGUUAAUAAGCAACAUUGCACCCAUUCACAACAAUGUCAGGUAAUAAAGAUUGUGUGAAAUUAUGUUACAAAAAAUAGAUUGAAAAUUUCAAAACUUCCGACCUUUUACUUCACAUUUCAGUUUAAAUCCACAAAACAACAUAUUAAGCAACGUUACCAUAAUGGUUUUCACGUAAAAACACUACUAGUGACUUGUAAAAAACAAAGAUGAUCUGCAGUAUUUUGAGUAAGCGUCAAUUUAUUGCAGUAUAUUUAUUAACUGUAGUAAGUACAUAUGUAACUUAGUAACACACGUGAAAAUAUGCUGAUUAACAUGCUCUUGUAUCCAUGUAUAAUUCCAUAAAUUUGGGAAAACCAUGUAUAAAUCAACAAAAUCCAAUAAUGACGUACAUGUACUCAUUCUAACGUGGGCUGUUACUGACUUUAGAAAUUUACCUUAAUGAUGUCAGUGGUGUUUUACAAGGUUUAAUAAACGGUUUUAUUAACAACGUUUCAGAUGUGAAAACUACGACGUCGUUCAAUAUAAUAGGUUGAAACAGCGAAAUUUACGAACAUGUCUAUCAAGCAUUCGUCUUGUCUGCUUGGCAAGUAAUUUCAUUGACGUCAAUAUCUAUAUGCAUAAAACUAUAAGAAGCAUGUAAAAUACAAUCAAGACUUCCAAUCAACUCGGCGCUGGACCGCUAAAAUGAGCCGUUAUGGUUUGGGUGUCGAAACGGGAGUCGUUUGUAGCUUCCUGUCAAAGCAUCUGAAAAUAUAUUGACACAACGGCAGGGUUACAUGUUUUGUGGAACAAUGUUUAAGGCCUGAUCAUCUACUACAACAUUCUUACAUCACAUUUCCGUAUCUAAAACAUACAACAAACAUUUUGGUACUAUAUUUAAUACCGGUAUAUAUAUAGAAAUAAAACAAUUUUGGCCAUUCAUAAAAACGUAGUUAUUGUUUUGGAAAAAAUAGGAUUACAUUUUAAAACGAGGGAGAGGAGGAAUUGUAUGAUUAUCCGCAAUUUCUGGUUUUCAGCGUUUUAAAUUAUUGAAAACUGACUCGUAAGAAUAAAAUCAUAUACUGACAAAAUGUUCUAACCCAACACAGUUUUACGAAUAUCUUUUCAUUUACUUUAUUCACAUUUCUGAAAUUUUUAACACACUUAGAAACAAUCUAUUGGUAAUGAAAAUUUGAAAUGGCAGCAAACAUAUGAUUUUAUUAUAAUUUUGAUACCUCAACCCAUUUCUAAAAUGUCAUGAAAUACGCAUUGAUAUAUAAAUUGCAUUCAUACAAGUAACUCGCCGAUUUCAGCCAUGAAUAAUGAUUAUUCAAUAUAAUAUUCACACAUGAACUGCUGCAUUCUGACACAGUUAGGGUAAAAUAUUUCGAAUGUGAAGUAACUCGUACAAAGUUUGCUUUUCUAAAACGAUUGAUAAUAGAUGAUCUGGGUAUGUCUGACAAGUAUUUGUUACGGGAUUUCACGUUUUUUGUUAUUUGUCAGAGAUACUUUUUACAUCAGAUUUUGAGUAUUUGAACUUUUUCCCUAAGAUUUAGCAUCCAACAGUGUAUGGAAGUAGAUUUGAGAGCGCGAAUCUGUAAUAAGUGGACAAAAAGAUGAAGUUAAUUCGUUUUCUCAAAACUAUGCCCAUAAAAAUUAAUUGUCUUUCUUUACUAGCUUUCUGAACGUUUUAUGAUAUGUUCUUGUGCUUAAAUUAUACGUUUAUAAAAUUCGAUACAAUCAUGUGUUUUGUAAGUUUUUAAAAUGAGUACAUUGUAGAACGGAUUAAAUUGGUUUUAUUAGAAA